rnacentral:rRNA from 1 species
AACACGUGAAGAAUCUGCCCUCCACUUUGGGAUAACACCGGGAAACCGGUGCUAAUACCGAAUAUUGAAACAUAAGUGGCAUCACUGAGUUUUGAAAGAAUUUCGGUGGAGGAUGACUUCGCGGCCUAUCAGCUAGUUGGUGAGGUAAUGGCUCACCAAGGCAACGACGGGUAGCCGGCCUGAGAGGGCGACCGGCCACACUGGGACUGAGACACGGCCCAGACUCCUACGGGAGGCAGCAGUGGGGAAUAUUGGGCAAUGGAGGAAACUCUGACCCAGCGACGCCGCGUGCGGGAUGAAGGCCUUCGGGUUGUAAACCGCUUUCAGUAGGGAAGAAGCGAAAGUGACGGUACCUACAAAAGAAGCACCGGCUAACUAUGUGCCAGCAGCCGCGGUAAUACAUAGGGUGCAAGCGUUGUCCGGAAUUAUUGGGCGUAAAGAGCUCGUAGGUCGUUUGUUACGUCGGAUGUGAAAACCUGAGGCUCAACCUCAGGCCUGCAUUCGAUACGGGCAAACUAGAGUUUGGUAGGGGAGACUGGAAUUCCUGGUGUAGCGGUGGAAUGCGCAGAUAUCAGGAGGAACACCAAUGGCGAAGGCAGGUCUCUGGGCCAAUACUGACACUGAGGAGCGAAAGUCUGGGGAGCGAACAGGAUUAGAUACCCUGGUAGUCCAGACCGUAAACGGUGGGCACUAGUUGUGGGAACCUUCCACGGUUUCUGCGACGCACCUAACGCAUUAAGUGCCCCGCCUGGGGAGUACGAUCGCCA